rnacentral:rRNA from 1 species
CACGUAGGGGGCAAGCGUUGUCCGGAAUCAUUGGGCGUAAAGAGCUCGUAGGCGGCUCAGUAAGUCGGGUGUGAAACCCUCAGGCUCAACCUGGGGACGCCACCCGAUACUGCUGUGGCUAGAGUCCAGUAGGGGAGUGUGGAAUUCCCGGUGUAGCGGUGAAAUGCGCAGAUAUCGGGAGGAACACCAGCGGCGAAAGCGGCUCCUGGUCCAGCACCGACGUCAGGCACGAAAGCGUGGGGAGCAAACAGG